AUUGAACGCUGGCGGCAGGCCUAACACAUGCAAGUCGAACGAGUGGCGGACGGGUGAGUAAUGUCUGGGAAACUGCCCGAUGGAGGGGGAUAACUACUGGAAACGGUAGCUCAUACCGCAUACCAUCGGAUGUGCCCAGAAGGGAUUAGCUUGUAGGUGAGGUAACGGCUCACCUAGGCGUCGAUCCCUAGCUGGUCUGAGAGGAUGACCAGCCACACGGGAACUGGGACACGGUCCAGACUCCUACGGGAGGCAGCAGUGGGGAAUAUUGCACAAUGGGCGAAAGCCUGAUGCAGCCAUGCCGCGUGUAUGAAGAAGGCCUUCGGAUUGUAAAGUACUUUCAGCUGGGAGGCGUUACCAGCAGAAGAAGCACCGGCUAACUCCGUGCCAGCAGACGCGGUAAUAC
rnacentral:rRNA from 1 species